CAGUCGCCGCGGGAACACGUAGGUGGCAAGCGUUGUCCGGAAUUAUUGGGCGUAAAGGGCUCGCAGGCGGUUUCUUAAGUCUGAUGUGAAAGCCCCCGGCUCAACCGGGGAGGGUCAUUGGAAACUGGGAAACUUGAGUGCAGAAGAGGAGAGUGGAAUUCCACGUGUAGCGGUGAAAUGCGUAGAGAUGUGGAGGAACACCAGUGGCGAAGGCGACUCUCUGGUCUGUAACUGACGCUGAGGAGCGAAAGCGUGGGGAGCAAACAGGAUUAGAUACCCCAGUAGUCCCUGUCUCUUAUAC
rnacentral:rRNA from 1 species